rnacentral:rRNA from 1 species
UACGUAGGGGGCUAGCGUUGUCCGGAAUCAUUGGGCGUAAAGCGCGUGUAGGCGGUCCGGUAAGUCCGCCGUGAAAGUCGGGGGCUCAACCCUCGGAUGCCGGUGGAUACUGUCGGGCUUGAGUACGGAAGAGGCGAGUGGAAUUCCUGGUGUAGCGGUGAAAUGCGCAGAUAUCAGGAGGAACACCAAUUGCGAAGGCAGCUCGCUGGGACGUUACUGACGCUGAGGAGCGAAAGCGUGGGGAGCAAACAGG